rnacentral:lncRNA from 1 species
GCUAGGCAAAUACUCAUAUCGUCAAUUACCAUUUUAAAAUAUCUCAGAGAACACUCUUUGAAGUAAUCCUUCCUCAAAUCCUAUUUGAAACUGGAUUCGUAUAAUGGGACACAAAUCAAAAUUACUCAGAAUUUGAAGAGCCAGGAAAAUAUCAACUUGAGUGGGAAAAGGCAAUCAACAUAUGCCCUUUAUUGUGCAAAACUCGGGUAACAGGUAAACAAGAUUAACAGGGACCGCUAGGAUCAAGAAAUGGAAGAUGCCUCCCUACAUACAUCUGAGAUGAAUCCACAAAGAUAUCAAUCAAACGUCAUCGUAAUGAAGAGAUCCCAUCCUUCAUGGUCACACUCA